GCCAGUGUGGCAUAGUGGUUUGAGCAUUGAACUACAGCUCUGGAGACCAGGGUUCGGUUCCCUGAUUAGCCA